UACGGAGGGUGCAAGCGUUAUCCGGAAUCACUGGGUUUAAAGGGUGCGUAGGCGGCUUGAUAAGUCAGAGGUGAAAGCCCGCAGCUUAACUGCGGAACGGCCUUUGAUACUGUUGAGCUUGAAACAGGACGAGGUUGGCGGAAUGUGGCAUGUAGCGGUGAAAUGCAUAGAUAUGCCAUAGAACACCGAUUGCGAAGGCAGCUGGCUAGACCUGAUUUGACGCUGAGGCACGAAAGCGUGGGGAGCGAACAGG
rnacentral:rRNA from 1 species